rnacentral:rRNA from 1 species
CCUACGGGUGGCAGCAGUGGGGAAUAUUGCACAAUGGGGGAAACCCUGAUGCAGCGACGCCGCGUGAGUGAAGAAGUAUUUCGGUAUGUAAAGCUCUAUCAGCAGGGAAGAAACCCACCCUCCGGGGUGGCUGACGGUACCUGACUACGAAGCCCCGGCUAACUACGUGCCAGCAGCCGCGGUAAUACGUAGGGGGCAAGCGUUAUCCGGAUUUACUGGGUGGAAAGGGAGCGUAGGUGGCAAGGCAAGUCAGAUGUGAAAACCCGGGGCCCAACCCCGGGAGUGCAUUUGAAACUGUCUGGCUAGAGUGCAGGAGAGGUAAGUGGAAUUCCUAGUGUAGCGGUGAAAUGCAUAGAUAUUAGGAGGAACACCAGCGGCGAAGGCGGCUUACUGGACCGUGACUGACGUUGAGGCUCGAAAGCGUGGGGAGCAAACAGGAUUAGAUACCCCUGUAGUC